rnacentral:sRNA from 1 species
UAUGACUAAAUACUAAAUCACACACGUAUCGACACGUUCUUCGGGGUGCCUAUUUAGGUCGGAGAUAUGGGAUGCGUGGAGGUCUAAC